CCUACAACAGGAAUCAAUUUGUUCAAAAGGUUAUCUUCUCAUUGUUUGGCUCCGUAAGUUAUUUCGUUUUGUUUCCUUAAAGCUCGUGAGAUUUGUACUAUGCCUAGAUAGUCUUAUUUACACCAUUAUUUUCAGUGGCUGAUUACUAAUUGUUUUUUAAAAAUGAUGCACUGAUGAAAAUGUGAAAGGAAAAUAACUGUGGCACUAUUUGCCAAGAAAAAAAUGGAUAAAAAAGAAUUUUAUCAACUUUUUUUUUUUUUUACCAUUUUUCAGAAAAGAUACAAUUAUCUUUUCUAUAUCCCGUCUAUAUUAGAUUGUUGUACAUUCUGUGUGUGUAUUUUCAAAUCAUCUAUAAAAUUCUACUUCCUUUA
rnacentral:lncRNA from 1 species